rnacentral:rRNA from 1 species
UACAGAGGGUGCAAGCGUUAAUCGGAUUUACUGGGCGUAAAGCGUGCGUAGGCGGUUUGCUAAGUCGGUUGUGAAAGCCCUGGGCUUAACCUGGGAAUUGCAGUCGAUACUGGCGGACUAGAGAACGGUAGAGGGAGGCGGAACUCCAGGUGUAGCGGUGAAAUGCGUAGAUAUCUGGAAGAACACCGAUGGCGAAGGCAACCUCCUGGGCCUGUUCUGACGCUGAGGCACGAAAGCGUGGGUAGCAAACAGG